rnacentral:rRNA from 1 species
AUUGAACGCUGGCGGCAGGCCUAACACAUGCAAGUCGAACGAGUGGCGGACGGGUGAGUAAUGUCUGGGAAACUGCCUGAUGGCGGGGGAUAACUACUGGAAACGGUAGCUAAUACCGCAUACCAUCGGAUGUGCCCAGAUGGGAUUAGCUAGGAGGUGGGGUAAAGGCGAACCUAGGCGACGAUCCCUAGCUGGUCGGAGCGGAUGACCAGCCACACUGGAACUGAGAAACGGUCCAGACUCCUACGGUAGGAAGCAGUGGGGAAUAUGGCACAAGGGGCGCAAGCCUGAUGCAGCCAUGCCGCGUGUAUGAAGAAGGCCUUCGGGUUGUAAAGUACUUUCAGCGGGGAGGCGUUACCCGCAGAAGAAGAACCGGCUAACGCCGGGCCAGCAGCCGAGGUAAUAC